rnacentral:rRNA from 1 species
UAAAAGUCGUAACAAGGUUUCCGUAGGUGAACCUGCGGAAGGAUCAUUAUUGAAAUAAAUCUGAURAGUUGMUGCUGGUUCUCUAGGGAGCAUGUGCACGCUUGUCAUCUUUAUAUUUCCACCUGUGCACCUUUUGUAGACCUGGAUAUCUCUCUGAAUGCUAGCCACUCAGGUUAAGGGAUUGACUUUUCCCGUCUCUCCUUACACUUCCAGGCCUAUGUUUUCUAAUAUACUCCAAAUCUACGUUAUAGAAUGUAUUCAAAGGCCUUUGUGCCUAUAAACUUAUACAACUUUCAGCAACGGAUCUCUUGGCUCUCGCAUCGAUGAAGAACGCAGCGAAAUGCGAUAAGUAAUGUGAAUUGCAGAAUUCAGUGAAUCAUCGAAUCUUUGAACGCACCUUGCGCUCCUUGGUAUUCCGAGGAGCAUGCCUGUUUGAGUGUCAUUAAUAUAUCAACCUCUUCAGCUUUUGCUUGUUGAGUUUUGGAUGUGGGGGUUUUUUUUGCUGGUCUUCUCAGAUCAGCUCCCCUAAAAUAUAUUAGCGGAACAUUUGUUGACCGUUCAUUGGUGUGAUAAAUAUCUACGCUUUUGACGUGAAGCAGUUCAGCUUCCAACAGUCCAUUCGCUUGGACAAGUUUUCAUUAAUGUGACCUCAAAUCAGGUAGG